GAGGGGAUAGCUCAAGUGGUAUGGCGCAUGCUUAGCAUGCGUGAGGUCCUGGGUUCAAUUCCCAGUACCUCCU
rnacentral:tRNA from 1 species